rnacentral:rRNA from 1 species
UACGUAGGGUGCAAGCGUUGCCCGGAAUUAUUGGGCGUAAAGAGCUCGUAGGCGGUCUGUCACGUCGGAUGUGAAAACUCGGGGCUCAACCCCGAGCCUGCAUACGAUACGGGCAGACUUGAGUUCGGCAGGGGAGACUGGAAUUCCUGGUGUAGCGGUGAAAUGCGCAGAUAUCAGGAGGAACACCCGUGGCGAAGGCGGCCAACUGGGCCGGACCUGACGCUGAGGCGCGAAGGCGUGGGGAGCGAACGGG